GUGGGGAAUAUUGGACAAUGGGGGGAACCCUGAUCCAGCCAUGCCGCGUGUGUGAAGAAGGCCUUUUGGUUGUAAAGCACUUUAAGCGAGGAGGAGGCUACCGAGAUUAAUACUCUUGGAUAGUGGACGUUACUCGCAGAAUAAGCACCGGCUAACUCUGUGCCAGCAGCCGCGGUAAUACAGAGGGUGCAAGCGUUAAUCGGAUUUACUGGGCGUAAAGCGCGCGUAGGUGGCCAAUUAAGUCAAAUGUGAAAUCCCCGAGCUUAACUUGGGAAUUGCAGUCGAUACUGGUUGGCUAGAGUAUGGGAGAGGAUGGUAGAAUUCCAGGUGUAGCGGUGAAAUGCGUAGAGAUCUGGAGGAAUACCGAUGGCGAAGGCAGCCAUCUGGCCUAAUACUGACACUGAGGUGCGAAAGCAUGGGGAGCAAACAGGAUUAGAUACCCGGGUAGUCC
rnacentral:rRNA from 1 species